UACGAGGGGGGCGAGCGUUGUUCGGAAUUAUUGGGCGUAAAGGGUGCGUAGGCGGUUCCGCAAGUCCUGUGUGAAAUCUUCGGGCUCAACUCGAAGUCUGCACGGGAAACUGCGGGGCUUGAGUGUGGGAGAGGUGAGUGGAAUUCCCGGUGUAGCGGUGAAAUGCGUAGAGAUCCGGAGGAACACCAAAGGCGAAGGCAGUGUCCUGGGGAGUACCUGACGCUCAGGUGCGAAAGCCAGGGGAGCGAACAGG
rnacentral:rRNA from 1 species